rnacentral:misc_RNA from 1 species
AAGUCGUAACAAGGUUUCCGUAGGUGAACCUGCGGAAGGAUCAUUAAAGAUUCUUUGGAUGUGCGCUCCGGCUGCACUCCAAAAACCCAUCUCACACACCGUGCGCCUCGAGCGGGGAGACCCGCUCGCCUUUACACAUCACACUAGUAAACCAGAAUGUCAAAUACCAUAAAUUAAUACAACUUUCAACAACGGAUCUCUUGGCUCUC